UGAAGAAGCUUGGGACGGAACUGUUUGUGAAUAGGAAGAACGAUAUCGACUUUAAUUUCAUUGACGCCAAAUGAUUGGUGAUCACUUCCCCUGCCCCGUCCUAAUCUUACCGGAGGUAGUAAAGAGUCUUAAAAGGAGUGAGACAACAUUGAAAGUGAGGGCUAACAAAGGAAGUCCUGAAUUGAUUCCACCUGGAUAAAUGAGACUUCUGAAGGAUGCAACAACGUUAAUGUGGUUGCAGUGGAAGCUUGAGCAGUAGUCACAGUUGCAAACUUUUACAAGAGGAGACUUUUUUGGGAACUGGUAGCAGAGGAAGGCUCUCAAGAGGCUGUGAGCUUUUCAAACGUACUCGCCAAGGUAACAAAGAUUAUCAUUUCUUUUUCGUUUAGUUUACGUUUAAUUCUUGGAUAUUUUUCUUAAUACUUUUUUACUUUGCCAUUGGAAAAUAGUCAUGUUUACAUCAAUAAGAUGAAUCAGGUAAAUGAUUGUUGAUCUGAUCAAAAAGAUAAUAGAGAGCCAAUUUAUUUUUGAACAGUGGGGAAUCUUUAGCUUGAUUCAAUUCACAUGGAUGUGAACUUUGUUAUACCAAAUACAUAAAGAUAUUUUAAAUGGCGAGAUAAAAAGAGAAAUCAAAAACAGAACUAACGCUGAUAAAAAAACAUUUGCUCUGAUAAGACAAGGGAGAAGAAGAGUCUUUUAUGUAUCAGGUAUGCAUUCCAAGCUGUCUUGUAUGCCUUGUGGAGAGAAAGAAAUAAGCUAAAACAUGGUGAUCAGAUUAUGCCUUUGCCAGUCCUUAAAAGAGUUGUAGAGAAAGGGAUUCGUAAUAGAAUCAGUUUGGUGCGCAAAAGAGGAGUUAGAGGUAUGGAGGAGGUGAUGCAAUUCUGGUUUCUAUCUAGAUUAUAAUUAGCAUUUUGAUUUUAUUUUGAGUUGUAGAGGGCAAGAUACAUUGCAAAGAAGUAUGCACUUAAUGUAAUAAAGCUUUUUUUUAAAUAAAUUUAAUAUUCAUUCAAAAAUAAUAAUAAUGAAGAUAUGGGAUCCACUUUUUUCUUUUACUCAAGCAUUGUCUUUGAGAAACGCCAAAUAAAAGACUCUAAAAUGUAUGUCUUGGCAUUGUUUUCUAGGCAUUUUAGUGUUAGUUUAUUUUGUGAUAACGGGAUUUUUUUUGUUAGGAUCAUCUAUAUAAUGUACACACAUGUUUGUGACUAAGUUUGAAACGUCUUAGGAACAAUGAAAUAGCCGGUGAGGAUAUUCGUUUAUGAAAAUGUGAUUCUCACUUGAUGUAUUUUCCCCAUGAUUAUAAGUAAAUAAGCGACAUAAACGAGCUCUCAAGUAUCUUAAAGAUUUCAAGUGUAAUAGGGUUGAAAAACCAAAACAGUUCACACUUGAGCUAUUUUUUGUGGCUUGUUGCACUUAAGAAGGUUUGGAGGUUUGUUAUUUGGAUACGUUUUUUUAUUAAAAUGUUAUUCUCUUUUUUGAUGGAUUUCCAGAUAAAUAAGCAAGAUGAAUGAGCUCGCAAGCAUCUCAAAGAUAUCAAAUGGAAUCAGGUUAAAGAACCAAAACGAUUCACGCUUGAUCUUUUCUUUGGCCAGAAUUCUUACUGCCAAAAAAGUGAAGAUUUUGAUUACAAAUUAUGUAAAGUUCGUAAGCUCACGAUUAUUGGUGAUUAACGAGUAGGUAGUUGUUGUGGCGAAGUUCUGGAUGACUGGAGAAACCACACAAGUCAUUUCACGAGUUUAAGGUAUGAAAUUGCGAACCACAUUUUAUUUUUCAGAUCAGUUCGACGAAGAAGACUUCUUUGCAAUUGACCUUCUGUGCGUAUUUUAAUAGAAGACUUCUAGGAAAGUCUUCUAACUUUCCUUUGUAAACAAAAAUUUUGAAAUUCUAAGAAGAAAUCUUCUCGGAAAAACAGGUUAGUUUAAAAUUUGACUGAAGUUCGUCAGAAAUUUGACUUUUUGUAGAAGACUUCUAAGGAGGUCUUCCUGGAGAAAACUGCUAUGAAGUCUUCCCUAAGUCUUCUCAAUGCCGGAAGAUGUCUAUAAGAAGACUUCUAAAGAAGUCUUUUCGAUUUUAAUUAUGGGUUUUGGUCAAACCUUUACCCGCAAGAGAAGACUUAUAGAGAAGUAAAUCUUCUCUCGAAAAGUCAAAUAUAGUCAAUUGCAAAAGUAACUCAGUAGACUUCUUGCAACUUUGAAAAGACUUCCGGAAGACUUAGAUAAGACUUCUUUUGAAGUAUUCUCCAGGUAAGACUUCCCUAGAAGUAUUCUAGAAAAAAUCAAAAUUCUGACCAACUUCGGUCAAAUUCAAAAGUCACCUCUUUUAAAGAAGUCUUCUCUGAAAAUUUUGAAAAAAAUUCAAUUUCAAAAGUAAGCCAAUAUUUACAAAGGAAGACUUCCGAAGAUGUCUUCUGUAGAAUAGACUUUUUAAGAAGUCUUCCUUCGUAAAUUUAGAAUUACAAAAAUGACCUAUUCAGAAGACUUCUUUUGAAGUCUACACAAGGUAGACUUAUUUUGAAGUCUUCCAUGAAUAACUUCAAAAGAAGUCUUCUACGUAAAUCUUUAUUAAACUUCAAAUUUAUCCAAAAUUAAAAUGAAUUUUUAAUAUUUUCUUGCUAAUUCAUGUUUAUUAGUCAAUAUUGGACUAUUGAGUCGAAUUCAUAACUUAAUUGGUGAUAAUUAUGAAGUUACAAACAUUGAUGUUUAAUAAUGUUUCUAGCUAAACGGAGAAGUCUUUUGUAAGUCUUCCUCAUAAGUGUUAACUUUCAAAAUUGUUAAGUAACUUCAAGAAUAUCAAGUCAUAUGGUUUAAUGUGUCCUUUUAGAUCAUAAGAUAUAAUUUUUAACAUACAUGAAGCAAAAAGAAUUUCAACUUUCACUUAAAAUUCAAGUUUGAUCUUUUGUGAAUUUGAUUAAUUUUUUUUUGUGAAGUCUUCUCUCUUAGUUUUAAUAAAUUUGACUAAGUUUUUGUUUUUUGUUUUGAGUGGGUAGAAUAGUUAAAAAAAUUCAUUUGAUUAACAUUUCUUUAAGUUUACAAAAGAAUUCACAACUAAAUAGUGAACAUACAAAUCAUAAAACAGACCAUAAACAAAACUAUUACACAUGAACUAGAUAUCAUUCCUCAACAUAGUAAGUUUGGUCUCCACUUGACAUCAUUCAUUUGUACCACUUUGGACAGAAGACUUUGGAAGACUUCCCGAAGAUUUCAUGGGAUGUCUUCUAGCAUAAAAUACAUUAGAAGAUUUCUCAAGAAGUCAGCCAAGAGUCUUCCAAGAGUUUCUGAGAGUCUUCCAAGAGUCUUCUAAGAAAUCUUCCAAAGUCUACCUCAUAUCUGAAAAAUCUGCAUAUUCAAAAGCAUUCAAAUGGCUUCAAACAGCUAAAUCUUCAAAAAUAAUUUUUUAUGCUUAAAUAAUAAAUAAAACAAUCAAAUUAGGUUAAAUCUAUAAUUUUUUAGAAUCUAAUAUAUAAAACACACAAUACAUAUCCAAAAUUUGUAUAACUUUGAGCAGAAAACUUUGGAAGACUUCAUGAAGACUUCGUGGGACGGCUUCUAGCAUAAAAUCCAUUAGAAAACUUCCCAAGAAGUCUUCCAAGAGUCCUCUGAGAAGUCUUCCAAAGUGUGAUUUAAAUCUGAAAAUUUUACAUAUUCAAAAGCAUUCAAAUAGCUUCAAAUAGAGAAAACUUCAAAAGCGUUUUUUUAUGCUUAAUAAUAAACAAAAAAUUCAAAAAAAACUCAACGACACAUACAUUGAGCCAGCUAAACAAAUACAAACUACAUGACCAACUAUUUAACAAUUUAGAAACUUACUUUCGAUGCUUACGAAGAAGACGAAGACGACAACCAAGAUCAGUGAAAUUACCUAAACAAAAAGUAGAGUAAGUUACAAACUCUGAUAAAUACAACUAACAAUGAUUUUUGUUUACAUUUUAUCCAUCAAAUAAAAUAGAAACAAAUACAACCACACCAGGAGAUACAAGAGACAAUCCCAACAGACACAAAAACAACAACAACAUCUCCACCUCCUCAUUCCCUUUGUCUUAUGAAAAUAACUUGCAUGUUCAAUGUAAACAGGCCAAUGCUAUUGUUUUCUUAUGGGCAAUACAUAUAUUCGUUUAAAACCUAUUAAGACCCAAAUACAAACUCAUUUUAUAAUUAUUUCUACAUGUCUUCAUUUGUUUUAAGGUUCAACAAAAGCAACAAGUUUAAAAAUAAAAUAAAAACAUAUAACCAACAUAAUAAGAAUAGAAAAAUUAUUACUUAAUA